rnacentral:misc_RNA from 1 species
UCACGGCCGCCACGGACCUCGCAUGACGACGGGACUACCACCAUCGGAUUUGCCUUGGUCGAAAUAGCUGGUAUAUGCACUUUUGAAAAAAUGCGUGCAAAAUGGUUUUGUGGUUUGGUGGCCGUGAGUCGAUUUUUUUGUUUUCCCAUACAAAUGAAUUUUGCGGAAAAUAAAAAGUGGCCCACGAGGCAGUCCUGGCGUGCGGCCCACUAAAACGGUCUCGGAGGGUAUAUGAGAAGGGAGCAAAUCCGGCCGAGCCUGAAAGGGUGAGGACAAACCGGGCGAGCAACCUCUCAGUAUCAGAUCUUGCAGACUUCCACUGCGUGUCCCUCUGUACAGCUUUGCAGGCUCCGGCCUCGGCAGCGGGGGGUUCAUAGUGGUCGUCGACCUCCACGAAACUGCACGCUCCGGCGUGACAGCGUACUGGGGAUGCCUGUGUAGAUGCAGUCCGGGCUUGCCUGGACCGCUAGCAGAUGGGCUCUGUGGAUGACUGGCCGCUGGCUAGACCUGAAACCUGAGCAACGGGAGGUAACCUCUCGCCGCGGACACCGGAAUGGUAGAAGCGGCGUGCUGCGUCCUCCUCUUGGGGCCCCUAAGCCACACCUCCCACAGCGGGUUCGGUGCGGCGGACGGACGCCCUGGGGAAUUUAGAGGGGGAAAGCGGAUUGCCCUAGCGGUGUUGUU